AUACGUAGGGUGCGAGCGUUGUCCGGAAUUACUGGGCGUAAAGAGCUCGUAGGUGGUUUGUUGCGUCGUCUGUGAAAUUCCGGGGCUUAACUCCGGGCGUGCAGGCGAUACGGGCAUAACUUGAGUACUGUAGGGGAGACUGGAAUUCCUGGUGUAGCGGUGAAAUGCGCAGAUAUCAGGAGGAACACCGGUGGCGAAGGCGGGUCUCUGGGCAGUAACUGACGCUGAGGAGCGAAAGCAUGGGUAGCGAACAGGAUUAGAUACCCUGGUAGUCCAUGCCGUAAACGGUGGGCGCUAGGUGUAGGGGUCUUCCACGACUUCUGUGCCGUAGCUAACGCAUUAAGCGCCCCGCCUGGGGAGUACGGCCGCAAGGCUAAAACUUAAAGGAAUUGACGGGG
rnacentral:rRNA from 1 species